rnacentral:rRNA from 1 species
GAUUAUGGCUCAGGAUGAACGCUAGCGACAGGCCUAACACAUGCAAGUCGGAGGGGCAGCGCGGAGUAGCAAUACUUGGCGGCGACCGGCGCACGGGUGAGUAACACGUAUGCAACCAACCCAUAACAGGGGGAUAACCCGGAGAAAUCCGGACUAAUACCGCAUAAGACCACGAUAUCGCAUGAUAUAGAGGUCAAAUAUUUAUAGGUUAUGGACGGCAUGCGUCUGAUUAGCUGGUUGGCGGGUAACGGCCCACCAAGGCAUCGAUCAGUAGGGUUCUGAGAGGAAGGUCCCCCACAUUGGAACUGAGACACGAUCCAAACUCCUACGGGAGGCAGCAGUGAAGGAAUAUUGGUCAAGUGGGACGAAAGCCUGAACCAGCCAUGUCGCGUGAAGGACGAAGGUCCUAUGGAUUGUAAACUUCUUUUGCAGGGGGGUAAAGUGAGCUACGUGUAGUUCAUUGCAAGUACCCUGCGAAUAAGCAUCGGCUAACUCCGUGCCAGCCGCCGC